AACUAAGAGAAACACAUAAAAAAAAAGUGUUGGCAAGGGGAGAGAAGACUUAACUCCAACUUAAAGAUCAAGAGAUCAUCUUAUGGAGAGAAGAUCUAACUCCAACUUAAAGAUCAAGCAAUCAUAUUCCAUGAUCAAAACUGUUCAAGAAGAUUUCCGCAACAAUGAAUGGAGAAGAUAGUUAAAGCAUGCAAAACGCUGAGUUGAUGACGUUAAUGAUUCUCUACGUUUAGAACAGUGAGCUGUCAAUCUUCUUCUUUCUUAACUCCAACCUUUUUCAAAUAUAUACUACAAAAAAAGAUCUACUAAGCAAUGCAACGUGUACUUUUUAUUUUACGAUUAAGCAUGAUGAUAUAUGCUCAUCACCUUUUUGGAUGUUGAACUAAACUCCCUCUCUCGGCAUAUGGAAACGUUCAUGAUUCUACGUUUUGUAAAUAUCUUGUGUUAUGGCCUAUGGGAUCAAGAUAAGCUGUGUUGCUGCACAUCCGAACUUCUUUGUGUUCUACUUCACUUUGGAUCAAAUCACGUUUUGCCAAGGAAAACUGAGAGGCUAAUUUUAUCAAAAAUUGUUCAAGUUGAAACAUUUUCUAAUUGUGCCUUAUGGACUUGAUCUGCCUUUAGGGAGUAAUGAUGUUCUGCUACUGGAGAUUAACAUUGAGCAUAUGACUCUGUCAAGUUAGACGUGAUGUGACUAUGUGAGGAAUAUAGUGGUAUGAGUUUUCAUAAAUUGGACUGGACAAGACUAUUUGAGCCUGAGAACAUGUUCUCAUGAGGUUACUAGAGCUUUUCCUUAUCGGUUGUUAUUAUAUAUUUUGCAUCUUCUUGUUUUGAACUCAAUCUUUCUAUCUUCACAGAUCACUCCUGUCAUAUUUUGCUUCUAACUGGAACUUCUCUUCAUUAUAUGUU